UGGGGAAUAUUGGACAAUGGGCGCAAGCCUGAUCCAGCCAUGCCGCGUGAGUGAUGAAGGUCUUCGGAUUGUAAAGCUCUUUUUACCAGGGAUGAUAAUGACAGUACCUGGAGAAUAAGCUCCGGCUAACUCCGUGCCAGCAGCCGCGGUAAUACGGAGGGAGCUAGCGUUGUUCGGAAUUACUGGGCGUAAAGCGUACGUAGGCGGUUAUUCAAGUCAGAGGUGAAAGCCCGGGGCUCAACCCCGGAACGGCCUUUGAAACUAGAUAGCUAGAAUCUUGGAGAGGUCAGUGGAAUUCCGAGUGUAGAGGUGAAAUUCGUAGAUAUUCGGAAGAACACCAGUGGCGAAGGCGACUGACUGGACAAGUAUUGACGCUGAGGUACGAAAGCGUGGGGAGCAAACAGGAUUAGAUACCCUGGUAGUCCCUGAGCGGGCUGGCAAGGCGCAU
rnacentral:rRNA from 1 species